rnacentral:rRNA from 1 species
GACGAACGCUGGCGGCGUGCCUAACACAUGCAAGUCGAACGGUUCAAGAUCAGCAAUGGUUUUGGAUAGUGGCGGACGGGUGAGUAACGCGUGAAUGACCUGACCUGAAGUGGGGGACAACACAUGGAAACGUGUGCUAAUACCGCAUAGGACCACGGUGCUGCAUGGCACUGGGGUGAAAGGAGCAAUCCGCUUGAGGAGGGGUUCCGUCCCAUUAGCUAGUUGGGGGGUAAAGGCCCACCAAGGCGACGAUGGGUAGCCGGACUGAGAGGUUGAACGGCCACACUGGAACUGAGAGACGGUCCAGACUCCUACGGGAGGCAGCAGUGGGGAAUAUUGGGCAAUGGGGGAAACCCUGACCCAGCAACGCCGCGUGAGGGAAGACGGCCUUCGGGUUGUAAGCUCUGUUGAGGGGACGAUAAUGACGGUACCCCUUUAGAAAGCCACGGCUAACUACGUG